CCAAUCGCUUUUGGGUAUUACGGAUUAGAUUCUUAUGCCGUAAAAACUAUUUUUUUUUAAAAGGUUGACCUCGGAUCAGGUAGGAAUACCCGCUGAACUUAAGCAUAUCAAUAAGCGGAGGAAAAGAAACCAACAGGGAUUGCCCUAGUAACGGCGAGUGAAGCGGCAACAGCUCAAAUUUGAAAUCUGGCUUAUGCCCGAGUUGUAAUUUGUAGAGGAUGCUUUUGGCGCGGCGCCUUCUGAGUUCCCUGGAAUGGGACGCCAAAGAGGGUGAGAGCCCCGUAUAGUUGAACGCUAAGCCUUUGUAAAGCUCCUUCGACGAGUCGAGUAGUUUGGGAAUGCUGCUCAAAAUGGGAGGUAAAUUUCUUCUAAAGCUAAAUACCGGCCAGAGACCGAUAGCGCACAAGUAGAGUGAUCGAAAGAUGAAAAGCACUUUGAAAAGAGGGUGAAAUAGCACGUGAAAUUGCUGAAAGGGAAGCGCUCAUGACCAGACUUGCGCCUGGUGGAUCACCUAGCGUUCUCGCUGGGGUACUCUGCCUGGUUCAGGCCAGCAUCGGUUUUUUUAGGGGGAUAAAAGCUUUGGGAACGUAGCUCUUCGGAGUGUUAUAGCCCAUUGUAUAAUACCCUUUAGGAGACCGAGGUUCGCGCUCUGCAAGGAUGCUGGCAUAAUGGUCAUCAGCGACCC
rnacentral:rRNA from 1 species